rnacentral:misc_RNA from 1 species
AUAGAGACUUUGUCCAAGGAGAUUGCUGACCUCAAGCUCUCUGUGGACCAAUUGGAAAAGGAAAGAGAUUUUUACUUUGCAAAAUUAAGGGAUAUAGAGUUACUUUGUCAAACUCCUGAAUUGGAGGAUCUACCAAUGGCUGUUGCAAUCAAGAAGAUAUUGUAUGCUGCUGAUGCUAAGGAAUCUGCACUUGAAGAAGCUCAGGAAUAUUUGUAUGAAGCGAUGAAUAAUGGGGAAGCUGAAGAUGAGGCCUGAAUUUUGAUUAGCAAUGUAUGAUGUUGCCUAGGAAAAGGGAUGACACUUUCAGGGCAUCUUGGUUGCAUUGAUCGC